rnacentral:rRNA from 1 species
GAUGAACGCUGGCGGCGUGCUUAACACAUGCAAGUCGAACGGAAAGGCCCUGCUUUUGUGGGGUGCUCGAGUGGCGAACGGGUGAGUAACACGUGAGUAACCUGCCCCUGACUUUGGGAUAACUUCAGGAAACUGGGGCUAAUACCGGAUAGGAGCUCCUGCUGCAUGGUGGGGGUUGGAAAGUUUCGGCGGUUGGGGAUGGACUCGCGGCUUAUCAGCUUGUUGGUGGGGUAGUGGCUUACCAAGGCUUUGACGGGUAGCCGGCCUGAGAGGGUGACCGGCCACAUUGGGACUAAGAUACGGACCAGACGGCUACGGGAGGCAACAGUGGAGAGUAUUACACAAUGAGCGGAAGCCUGAUGCGGCAGCGCCGCGUGCGGGAUGACGGCCUUCGGGUUGUAAACCGCUUUCGCCUGUGACGAAGCGUGAGUGACGGUAAUGGGUAAAAAAGCACCGGCUAACUACGUG